ACCUUUGUUGCGACGCCCCAUGCUUGGCACACCUGAGAAGUGUUUUGGAGCUGGUAGACAACGUGAGGCGCUACUCCUCCCAGAAAAAGAGACUGUUGUAGAUUGACCAAAAUUGACCUGAACUGUUUGGGAGUGUAGUUAACUCCCUGGUGCCCACACAACAGCUCAAGUUUUGUUGUUGAGCCACAUUGGCUCAAAUAUAGUUGGGUUACUCCAAUAAAUGAGUCUCUUCCUGCUAACACGCCUCGUGCCUUCACAGAUGGGUCCAUGCGGGCCACUCCCAUUCAUCAUUAAGUGGUAAACGAUCCAGAAACUGAGACAAGGAGAGAGAUUUGCACUGAACCUUGAGCGAUUUGCUUCAGCCUGACAGGGUUUCCUCGUGCUGAUGUUAAACUGAUAUACUUCAGGGGCUCUGGGGUCCUAUGGGUUCUUUGAACACAUUAUUCAAGGACGUUCAGCUGGGGUAUGGAGCCUUGUUCCAAAGUGUCCCAACGGAUUGACUAAUUGUUCUGGCUGCCUGAAUGCCCCACUUCCUUUCCCUGUGGGACCCUGUAUAAAAUGGCUUAGCUGAGCUACGAAGGCUAAUAUAAAGCAGUUAGGUAGUCACCAUGCAGAGCAGCCCUUUUGCCCUUUGUCUCCUCAUCCUGGGACUCUGCAUACUAUGGUUUCAGCUGUUGGGUGUUUCUGCUCAAGAACCUCUACCUGCAAAAUGCAAACUCCCCAAACAAACUGGGCGGUGCAAAGCACGUUUUGUAAAAUAUUACUACAAUGUCAAGAGCGAGAAGUGUGAAGAGUUCAUUUAUGGUGGCUGUCGUGGUAACAGAAAUAGAUUUGACACUAAAGUGAAGUGCAUACAGGAAUGUGCCAGGAAUACCAGAAAACGUACAGGUCUUUUCCGGGCAAUCCAAUUGGUUGAUUCUUUUCCCUCACUGAUUAUUUCAGCCCACGAAUGCAAUAGGAGGGUUCAGUUUGCCUGUACAGUGGGAGGAAGGUAUGGCGAUGCAGGAAGCCUCCUUAGAUCAGUGGAUCCCAGAAGCCCAGUCCAUUGGACGUGCUGGCUUGCACUUCUAGAAGCUCCAGUCCAAGAAAACCUGGGCCCACAAAUACUUUGCGCUGAGUGAAAAGUGCAGAAAACAGAAGUUGACGACUUUUGCCACCCUAUGUAAGCUGGUUUAGCCAUGGGGCUUCAGAACCAAGCGCCGUUGAUUUCAACAGGACUAACGUCAUCAUUCAGUCUAGGCUUGAAGCUUAGGUGGUAGAUCAGAAUGUCUCGCCUGCACCAAUGCUAGCAAAUCCUCAGACCUCCCACCCCAUUUGCAGGCAGUUAGUGCCUUUUCUUACCUCCCUGCUCUGCAUGUUGUGGGAAAAAAGGGCCAAAGAACUUUCCAGCCCAAUGGAAGCUCUUAGACUUGGGCCCUGAUUCAUUCUGCACCAAUGGUAAAGGAUGAUGGUGAUAGUAGUUCCAUGAAAUCAGGAGGGACACAAUCCCCCAUUAUUGUCCUGAAAUGCUCCAUGUUUUAAAGUCAUUAUUUGAUUGAGGGGAAAUCUCUACUUCUAAGUAGGGCUUCUUAUAAUCCAUACGUAGAACUGAAAGUACUAUGAAUGCUUUUAUCUCCAUAUGAUGGACUUUCUCUCUUCUUUCUAGGUAAUUGACCGAAUCCGUGACAUUUUCAGACGUAUCAAAAUGUAACCUUGUUCUGUGGAACCGUGAGGUCUUCCGCCAUCUUGUACCAAAUCGGGUGCACACUUCUUGUAUGCUCUCUAGGAGAUGUCCCUGCUAUUCUUUGAUGCUUAAUUUAAAUAAUUAUUGGAAGACAAUGCAAUUACAUAUAUAUUUGCUUGCAUAGUCAAUAAAAGACAGAAAAAAUUAUUCUCCUGGACA
ensembl:lncRNA